GAUGAACGCUAGCUACAGGCUUAACACAUGCAAGUCGAGGGCAGCAUGAACAUAGCUUGCUAUGUUUGAUGGCGACCGGCGCACGGGUGCGUAACACGUAUCCAAUCUGCCCGUCACUCGGGGAUAGCCUUCUGAAAGGAAGAUUAAUACCCGAUGGGAUGCAUUUCCGGCAUCGGAGAUGCAUUAAAGAUUUUAUCGGUGACGGAUGAGGAUGCGUACGAUUAGCUAGUUGGCGGGGUAACGGCCCACCAAGGCAACGAUCGUUAGGGGUUCUGAGAGGAAGGUCCCCCACACUGGAACUGAGACACGGUCCAGACUCCUACGGGAGGCGGCAGUGAGGAAUAUUGCACAAUGGGGGAAACCCUGAUGCAGCGACGCCGCGUGAGUGAAGAAGUAUCUCGGUACGUAAAGCUCUAUCAGCAGGGAAGAAAAUGACGGUACCUGACCAAGAAGCACCGGCUAAAUACGUG
rnacentral:rRNA from 1 species